UACAGAGGUCCCAAGCGUUGUUCGGAUUCAUUGGGCGGAAAGGGUGCGUAGGCGGCGCGGUAAGUCGGGUGUGAAAUCUCGGGGCUUAACUCCGAAACUGCAUUCGAUACUGCCGUGCUUGAGGACUGGAGAGGAGACUGGAAUUUACGGUGUAGCGGUGAAAUGCGUAGAUAUCGUAAGGAAGACCAGUGGCGAAGGCGGGUCUCUGGACAGUUCCUGACGCUGAGGCACGAAGGCCAGGGGAGCAAACGGG
rnacentral:rRNA from 1 species